CUACGGGAGGCUGCAGUGGGGAAUCUUGCGCAAUGGGCGAAAGCCUGACGCAGCAACGCCGCGUGCGGGAUGAAUGCCUUCGGGUUGUAAACCGCUUUUACCAGGAAGGAAAAUGACAGUACCUGGAGAAUAAGGUGCGGCCAACUACGUGCCAGCAGCCGCGGUGACACGUAGGCACCAAGCGUGUGUCCGGAUUUAUUGGGCGUAAAGAGCUCGUAGGCGGUUCAGUAAGUCGGGUGUGAAAACUCUGGGCUUAACCCAGAGACGCCACCCGAUACUGCUGUGACUUGAGUCCGGUAGGGGAGUGGGGAAUUCCUGGUGUAGCGGUGAAAUGCGCAGAUAUCAGGAGGAACACCAAUGGCGAAGGCACCACGCUGGGCCGGGACUGAAGCUGAGGAGCGAAAGCGUGGGUAGCAGACAGGAUUAGAUACCCCGGUAGUC
rnacentral:rRNA from 1 species